rnacentral:lncRNA from 1 species
GAAGUGGCAAUUGAGAGAUAAAGGAAAGUGGUCUCUUGGAGACACUUGAAUACCGGAUAGCCACAUGGAGUUGUGGACAAUGCUCUCUUGUGGAUUAAGAGUCGAGAUAUGCCGGGGUAAGCCAUCUCUCAUUAGAGCAAAGAUCCUGAUGUGAUUGGAGCACUCGCGAUUGGUCGAUGCACAAUGAUAUUGCCUCGAAGCAAUGUUGGUGAUCGAAUCAGAGUGUGUUCCCCGACAGGAAAGUAAAAUGCAAAGAAAAGUUCUUGCAUGCCAAGUGGUGAAUGAUGUUGUAGCGCGUAGAGUCGUUGAGUUUCGACUUGCGCUACCACCAGGAAUGACGGAGACC